rnacentral:misc_RNA from 1 species
CUGUGGGGUCAUUCAAAUUUUGUCUAAAAUGGUAGUAGCUAUCGAUGAUAUUUCUGUGUAAUAAUAAUUAACAGAAUGUUAAACUUUCAAUGUCAAUAACCCCAUGUAAAAUAAACAUUAAAAAAAAACAUUCUGUGUUUAUUUCUAUUCGUGUUUUAAUGCGGGAUACGACGGUUUCACUGACAUGCGUUCAGAGUAUAAAAGUUUGCUUUACCAGUUGUUCUGCAUAUGGAUGAAAUAUGAGUUAUAUAUGUAUCUAGUUACCAUAAUAUAUCGUACAUAAUGCACUGUUAUUGAAAGAACCAUUAAAACAUGUUUCACGUUUAUUCAUUACACGCUGUGUUGUGUAAACCAUCUGCAGCAUUUUAGACGUACCUGCAUAACAGACAUCAGUCAUACUUCAGUUAAAUCGUAAAAAUGUAAAUUAAACGUUUAUAUUGGAAUAAGACGGCACGAAUACAAACAAUGGACAUUUUGUGUAUACGUACGACUUCUGUUGUAGGUACAGCUCAUUAUAACAUAUUUUAAUAAUAACAUGAUUGUGCGGUUGAUCAUACAAUUAUAUUAUAUUAUUAUAUUGUAUUAUUGUUGUAUUAUAAUAUCAAAAUUAGGUCACUCAUGUGUUUAGCAAGUCGACGAAUGAUUACAACAAUAGUAUAAUUGUGCGGCGAUGGUUGAACUAUUACAAUGGGAGUAUACACAAAACGACUCGGUAAUUUCCGAUUCAAUUUCCAACAACGACAAUACGAUGUAAACAGCUCGACGUACAAAAGAAACCAUACUCAAUACAUUAUCUAACAAUAAAGGGUACUCUGCAGUAUUUAACAAAUAAGAGGAUUUUUUAAACACCAACAUUUUUCCAGUUAAAAUACUUGUGGUAAUAAACCUAAAUAGAUGGAUUACUAUAUUAUAACGUGCAAAAGAAAAUUAUAUAUAAGCAUCAAUAUAACUAUAGAGUUCAGCUAACUUUGUUCUUAAAUCUAAUCUAACUUCGCCUACUUUAAAAAUUG